GGGGUUGUAGCUCAGUGGUAGAGCGCUUGCCUUGCACUUGUGAGACUCUGGGUUCAAUCCUCAGCAACACAU
rfam:Ictidomys tridecemlineatus contig099867, whole genome shotgun sequence.